UAAGCAGCAAAAUUACCAAGAAAAAGCAUAAAAAUGUAAAAAACAUGGCACUAGAUAGAGCACAAAACAGACACUUGUUUGCACUAUGAGAGCUGAAACAAGAAGGCAGAGCAGAGUGUUGCCUUGUUCAACCUCAGUUGGGAAUGUGCCCGUCUAGUGACUCAGGAUUGUUGCUACUCUGAGCACGUGGUCCAAAAGAAUCACAAAGGCACUAUGAAUAUUGAUUUUGGUGUUAACAAAUAAAUUUUAGCGAGUGGGUGAUUUUGCAAAUAUGGAAUCUGCAAAUAAUGAGGAUUGCCUUUAUAUAUAGAUAUAGAUUGAAUUGCAUCUUCUGUCUUUCUGAGUGAGCUCUGAGCUGUGUCUGUGGAUUUAGCUCUGGACCAGUUGUAAUUCAAAGCUGGGAAUGCAGUUUCCCUGCUCAGAGCAGGGAGGCCAGAUAGACUUCUCUCCCCCAAGUGCCAGGCUCAGCAAUCCAGACCUCCUCUCUCUGCCUAAAGGGGAGCGGCCCCCGGUAGGGGCCAGAAGAAUGCGAUGGUGCAGUGAUUCAGUUAUCCCCAGUGUACCACCUGACCAACCAUGUCCCAGGGAUGGAGAAUACUGAGCUGGGGAAGAAAUGGCUGGAACAGAGGAUGCAGGCAGAGAUGAGUGUAUGGAAACACAAGAAAAGAAGCUGUCAGAACUCCACCAGGCGGCAGCGUGGCCUUGUUCCCUAUUUUGGGCCAGAUUUCUGUUUCUGGGCUGUAAUUCCAGGCUUCGCUGAGUCACUGCACACUUAGAAGCCUGCCAGCCCCAGCCUCCUGAAGACUGCGUCCUUCCCAGCUGACUAGGAGUCUUUUCAAGGACAUGGGACCUGACCUAUUGCCCCAGGAGGCUGAAGUUCCUCACCAGCAUCCCCUCACCAGUUUAUUUCACUCUGAACCCCUAGCUCCUAACACAGUCAUGAGUCGUCUGUGGACUUCUCCAGUUCUCUCCUGCUGGGGUGUUCCUCAAGUUCUCCAGCCAGCAGCAGCAAACAACACACAGCUGGCAUCAGCGUGCCCUGGAGCCAUGUACUCUCACCAACUGUGUUCUGGCUGGGUAGGGAAACGGUACUGGGAAUUACCUGAUGAACACCUGGGUUUGUAUGGAGGGAUUUACAAUACAUCUUUGAG
rnacentral:lncRNA from 1 species